UACACACCGCCCGUCACACCAUGGGAGUGGGUGCACCAGAAGUAGGUGGCUAACCGCAAGGAGGCCGCUUACCACGGUACGCUCAUGACUGGGUG
rnacentral:rRNA from 1 species